rnacentral:tRNA from 1 species
UGGAGAGGUGUCCGAGUCUGGUUUAAGGAGCACGCCUGGAACGCGUGUUAGGGUCACACCUACGUGGGUUCAAAUCCCACCCUCUCCGU